UCCCGGAAUAACCCGCUGGACCAGAACC
rnacentral:sRNA from 1 species